CUUUUUCGGAUGACUCAUGGGAGGAAGGCGGUGUGCGGAACGGCUUUUCUGCUCUUCCCAGGAUCGAAGCAGCAGCUGGCAGCCAGUGUCUCAGGGUGGAGAGGAAGUCGCAUGUCUCCCAGUUGUGCAGCACCAGCAAGGCUGGAAGAAACGCCCAUGAGAUCCAGCAAGAGACAAAGAAGGUGGCAAUAAGAGCAUCUGGAACAACUGUAAAUAACAAACAACGUUGAAAAGGGAAGAAAAUCAAGCCAGAAAUCAAAAUAUUUUCCAUUUUUUCAGAAAACAAUACAAUUCUGCUCCUCCUCCAGCAACUGUUAGACAAAAGAGAGAAAAUCAAUAAAGAUUUCAAGCAGGAAUAAGCAGGUUAUUCAG
rnacentral:lncRNA from 1 species